rnacentral:rRNA from 1 species
CCAGACUCCUACGGGAGGCAGCAGUGGGGAAUAUUGCGCAAUGGGGGAAACCCUGACGCAGCAACGCCGCGUGCGGGAUGAAGGCUUUCGGGUUGUAAACCGCUUUCAGCAGGGAAGAUAAUGACGGUACCUGCAGAAGAAGCCCCGGCUAACUACGUGCCAGCAGCCGCGGUAAUACGUAGGGGGCAAGCGUUAAUCGGAAUUACUGGGCGUAAAGCGCGCGUAGGCGGUAUGUCAAGUCAAGGGUGAAAUCCCCGCGCUCAACGUGGGAACUGCCUUUGAAACUGGCAAACUGGAGUGUGUGAGAGGAUAGUGGAAUUCCAGGUGUAGGAGUGAAAUCCGUAGAUAUCUGGAGGAACAUCAGUGGCGAAGGCGACUAUCUGGCACAUAACUGACGCUGAGGAGUGAAAGCGUGGGUAGCAAACAGGAUUAGAUACCCGGGUAGU